rnacentral:rRNA from 1 species
ACGACUACAUUUAGAUACCCGGGUAGUCCUAGGCGUAAAUGAUGCGAGUUAAGUNUGGGGGCAUCUACGAGAUGGCCCUGUGCUGUAGGGUAGCCGUUAAACUCGCUGGCCUGGGGAGUACGGUCGCAAGGCUGAAACUUAAAGGAAUUGGCGGGGAGCACCACAAGAGGUGGAGGCUGCGGUUCAAUUGGACUCAACGCCGGAAAACUCAUCGGGAGCGACAGCAGUAUGAUUGCCAGGUUGAUGACCUUGCUUGACAAGCUG